rnacentral:rRNA from 1 species
GUGCCAGCCGCCGCGGUAAUACGGGGGGGGCAAGCGUUGCUCGGAAUCACUGGGCGUAAAGGGUGCGUAGGCGGGUCUUUAAGUCAGGGGUGAAAUCCUGGAGCUCAACUCCAGAACUGCCUUUGAUACUGAGGAUCUUGAGUUCGGGAGAGGUGAGUGGAACUGCGAGUGUAGAGGUGAAAUUCGUAGAUAUUCGCAAGAACACCAGUGGCGAAGGCGGCUCACUGGCCCGAUACUGACGCUGAGGCACGAAAGCGUGGGGAGCAAACAGGAUUAGAUACCCUUGUAGUCC